CCCUUAUCGACAGAAGUGUAAGUAAAAGUUAUGUGUCAUUGUUAUACACAAUUAUGUGUUAGUGUUAUACACAGUUAUUUAUCAUUUUCUAUUAAUUCAGUUGUAGCCACUACAAUAUCUAUGACACUGGUAGUAAUUAUAAGAACAAUAAUGAUGUUCUAUAAGAGGAAAUGAUGAUUAGGAACAAAAACUUACAGGAGAUAUCAUGCGGUGGAUGGAUAAUAUGUAAAAAAUAUUAAGCAGUAUAUGAAUUUUCAUAUUGCAUAGAGAUAACAAAAUGAAUUUUAAAAAAUGUCGACACGGUAAUAAGAAAUAGCAUCGUGACAAAGAAUAUAUAAAGACAGUUUCAUUUUUUAUAAAUAAAAAUUUGUUGUUCCAGAUUUUGAAAUACAGUGAAACGUUUAAUUAGUAUCUUAAUAUCUUUAAAUAAUUAUUAUUUUAGAAUCAAUUGUAAUUGUAUCAUACGUACUUUUGAAUUCGUGCAAGAACAUAUGUAAUUUUGAAGUAGUUAUUAUUAGGAAACUGUUAGACGCGAACAGUAUGCGAAAAGUUAGUAUGCAGUGUAAUAAUUAUCAAUCAAAACACAAGAAUUAAAUUCUUGAGGAAAAAAUUUCCGGAAUUUCUUAUUUACAUGAUUAUAAAGAAAUCCAUAAUAAAAAGGAGCUGCUUUCUAA